UGGGGAAUUUUGGACAAUGGGCGAAAGCCUGAUCCAGCAAUGCCGCGUGUGUGAAGAAGGCCUUCGGGUUGUAAAGCACUUUUGUCCGGAAAGAAAUCCUUGGCUCUAAUACAGUCGGGGGAUGACGGUACCGGAAGAAUAAGCACCGGCUAACUACGUGCCAGCAGCCGCGGUAAUACGUAGGGUGCAAGCGUUAAUCGGAAUUACUGGGCGUAAAGCGUGCGCAGGCGGUUUGCUAAGACCGAUGUGAAAUCCCCGGGCUUAACCUGGGAACUGCAUUUGUGACUGGCGGGCUAGAGUAUGGCAGAGGGGGGUAGAAUUCCACGUGUAGCAGUGAAAUGCGUAGAGAUGUGGAGGAAUACCGAUGGCGAAGGCAGCCCCCUGGGCCAAUACUGACGCUCAUGCACGAAAGCGUGGGGAGCAAACAGGAUUAGAUACCCUGGUAGUCCACGCCCUAAACGAUGUCAACUAGUUGUCGGUCUUCAUUGACUUGGUAACGUAGCUAACGCGUGAAGUUGACCGCCUGGGGAGUACGGUCGCAAGAUUAAAACUCAAAUGAAUUGACGGGGUCAUAGCUGUUUCCUG
rnacentral:rRNA from 1 species